rnacentral:rRNA from 1 species
CAGUCUCUGGAUAUAGACCCGAAACCAGGUGAUCUAGCCAUGGGCAGGUUGAAGGUUGAGUAACAUCAACUGGAGGACCGAACCGACUAAUGUUGAAAAAUUAGCGGAUGACUUGUGGCUAGGGGUGAAAGGCCAAUCAAACCUGGAGAUAGCUGGUUCUCCCCGAAAGCUAUUUAGGUAGCGCCUCGGACGAAUACUACUGGGGGUAGAGCACUGUUAAGGCUAGGGGGUCAUCCCGACUUACCAACCCUUUGCAAACUCCGAAUACCAGUAAGUACUAUCCGGGAGACACACGGCGGGUGCUAACGUCCGUCGUGGAGAGGGAAACAACCCAGACCGCCAGCUAAGGUCCCAAAUUACUACUAAGUGGGAAACGAUGUGGGAAGGCUCAGACAGCCAGGAUGUUGGCUUAGAAGCAGCCAUCAUUUAAAGAAAGCGUAAUAGCUCACUGGUCGAGUCGGCCUGCGCGGAAGAUGUAACGGGGCUAAGUAGUAAACCGAAGCUGCGGCAAUGUGCUUUUGCACAUUGGGUAGGGGAGCGUUCUGUAAGCGGUUGAAGGUGUGUGGUAACGCAUGCUGGACGUAUCAGAAGUGCGAAUGCUGACAUGAGUAACGAUAAAGGGGGUGAAAA